AUUGAACGCUGGCGGCAUGCCUUACACAUGCAAGUCGAACGGCAGCAUGAUCUCGCUUGCUAGAUUGAUGGCGAGUGGCGAACGGGUGAGUAAUACAUCGGAACGUGCCCUGUAGUGGGGGAUAACUAGUCGAAAGAUUAGCUAAUACCGCAUACGACCUGAGGGUGAAAGUGGGGGACCGCAAGGCCUCAUGCUAUAGGAGCGGCCGAUGUCUGAUUAGCUAGUUGGUGAGGUAAAGGCUCACCAAGGCGACGAUCAGUAGCUGGUCUGAGAGGACGAUCAGCCACACUGGGACUGAGACACGGCCCAGACUCCUACGGGAGGCAGCAGUGGGGAAUUUUGGACAAUGGGCGAAAGCCUGAUCCAGCAAUGCCGCGUGUGUGAAGAAGGCCUUCGGGUUGUAAAGCACUUUUGUCCGGAAAGAAAUGGCUAUGGUUAAUACCUGGGGUCGAUGACGGUACCGGAAGAAUAAGGACCGGCUAACUACGUG
rnacentral:rRNA from 1 species